CCUGAUUGGCGAUACUUCCAAACGAAGUGGAAAGCGAUUAGCAGAGAGCUCGCUGCGUUCCCCCACCAUCUUCCAACCUGCGCGUCGCAGUUAUGGACUCUGGUGAAAUGCGGUAUAUGUACUCUGCAAGGCAUGUCAAAAACUACAAAAAUACAUAUUUUGGUCCCCUAAGACGAAGUUUAACCCCUCAUACAACACCUGAAAUACAGUUAGGAAAGAAGAGCUUGGUAUCUGAAUUUUAUGAGGAAAUAGUUUUUCGAGAUCCAACAGCAUUGAUGGAACAUCUAUUAAAUUCUAAUAGGCCUAUAACUCUGGGUGUAUGGCGUCAUAAUGCAGAUUGCAAAGAGCCUUUGAAACCAUUACGAGAUGCUAGAACUACCCCAUCCGAACAAAGUAGUCGUUCAAGGAGUUCAGCCAAGGAAAGUUCUGAAGCUGGUCCUAGCUCUAGAAAACGGAGGCGUUCUGUGAUAGACAAAGGUGACAUAGUGUGGAAGAGGCUGCACAAUGAAGAAGCUAAAUUUGCUAAAAGUGUUGCUGGUAGAGAAGGGACACCUAGGUUUAAUCGAUUCUUAGAUUUUUUAAUUGAAGAGGAAGGAAAAAAAUGUUUAGAGGUUCUGAAAAGAGAAGGAGUAAAUUUAACUAAUAUGUCCAGUAUUUUAAAUAGAGCAGGAGCCAAUGCUGAAAAAGCUUUUAAAGACUUAUAUAACCUUUGGUUUGAUGCAGAAGGAAAUAAAACUCAAUAUUUAAAAUCUCUAGAAAAAGAAGGAGUAAAUCUAUCUAAUGUGUCCAGUAUUUUAAGUAGAGCAGGAGCCAAUGCCGAAAAAGUUUUUAAAGACUUAUAUGACAUUUGGUUUGAUUCAGAAGGAAAUAAAACACAAUAUUUAAGAACUCUAGAGAAAGAGCAAAUAAAUCUACCUAAUAUAUCCAGUAUUUUGCAUGGAGUAGGAGCUAAGGCUAAAGUUGCUUUUAUAGAAUUAUAUAAUCUUUGGUUUGAUGCAGAAGGAAAUAAAACACAAUAUUUAAAAACUCUAAAAAAAGAAGGAAUAAGUCUAGCUAAUAUGUCCAGUAUUUUAGGUGGGGCAGGAUCUAAUGCUGCAAAAACUUUUAAAGACUUAUAUUAUCUUUGGUUUGAUGCAGAAGGAAGCAAAACACGAUAUUUAAAAACUUUAGAAAGAGAAGGGAUAAAUCUAGCUAAUAUAUCCGGUAUUUUAAGUGGGACAGGAGCUAUGGCUGCAAAAACUUUUAAAGACUUAUAUGGUCUUUGGUUUGAUUCAGAAGGAAAGAAAACACAAUAUUUAAGAACUCUAGAAAAAGAAGGAAUAAAUCUAGCUAAUAUAUCCAGUAUUUUAGGUAGAGCAGGAGCUAAGGCUGUAAAAGCUUUUAAAGACUUAUAUGACCUUUGGUUUGAUACGCAAGGAAAUAAAACUCAAUAUUUAAAAACUCUAGAAAAAGAAAGGAUAAAUCUAGCUAAUGUGUCCAGUAUGUUAAGUGGAGCAGGAGCUAAGGCUGUAAAAGCUUUUAAAAACUUAUAUGAUCUUUGGUUUGAUCCAGAAGGAAAGAAAACACAAUAUUUAAGAACUCUAGAGAAAGAUGGAAUAAAUCUAGCUAAUAUAUCCAGUAUUUUAGGUAGGACAGGAUCUAAUGCUGUAAAAGCUUUUAAAGACUUAUAUGACCUUUGGUUUGAUGCAGAAGGAAAUAAAACACAAUAUUUAAAAACUCUAAAAAAAGAAGGAAUAAGUUUAGCUAACAUAUCCAGUAUUUUAAAUGGAGCAGGAUCUAAUGCUGUAAAAGCUUUUAAAGACUUAUAUGACCUUUGGUUUGAUACGCAAGGAAAUAAAACACAAUAUUUAAAAACUCUAAAAAAAGAAGGAAUAAGUCUAGCUAAUAUGACCAGUAUUUUAAGUGGGGCAGGAUCUAAUGCUGCAAAAACUUUUAAAGACUUAUAUGAUCUUUGGUUUGAUGCAAAAGGAAGCAAAACACAAUAUUUAAAAACUUUAGAAAGAGAAGGGAUAAAUCUACCUAAUAUGUCCAGUAUUUUAAGUGGAGCAGGAUCAAAUGCUGCAAAAGCUUUUAAAGGCUUAUAUGAUCUUUGGUUUGAUGCAGAAGGAGAGAAAAGACUGUAUUUAAAAACUCUAGAAAAAGAAGAAAUAAAUCUGACUAAUAUAUCCAGUAUUUUACAUGGAACAGGAUCUAAUGCUGUAAAAGCUUUUAAAGACCUAUAUAAUACUUUUUUUGAUGAGCAAGGAAAUAAAAAACAGCAUUUAAAGCAUUUUGUUAAGAAAAACGGUUUUACAAUACAUAACUUAUCAAGUAUAUUAAGUGGAUCAGGAGCCAAUGCUCAAUAUGCUUUUGAAAAGUUGCAUAGUGUCUGUUUUAACAUCAAAGGGAAAAGAACAAAACUUUUAGAUGAUUUCUAUAAUGCAGGUUUUGAGCCGGGUAACUUGUCCUGUAUGUUAUGUGGAGCAGGAGUUCAUGCUUCUUCUAUUUUAGAAAGAUUGCAUAGUGUUUGUUUUGAUGAUAAAGGAGAAAGAACAGAGCUUUUAAAUGACUUCUGUAAUGUAGGUUUUAGGUUGGGUGAUUUAUGCAAUAUAUUGAGUGGGGUAGCAGGAAAUCUAGAAGAAUUUCACGAUUUUUGUUUUAUAAGAGAAACAAAAAAAUAUUUGUACCAUUUCUUAGAUGAGAAAGAAAGUUUUACGCCGAGUAAUUUAUGUAGUAUAUUACAUGGAGCAAGAGCUAAUAUUUAUUCUGCUUUAAUAGAUUUUCAUAAUGUUUGUUUUGAUGGGGCAGGAAAUAGAACACAACUUUUAGUUGAUUUCUAUAGAGCAGGUUUUACAGCGAGUAAUUUAUCCAAAAUAUUGUCCAUGGCAGGAAAUAAUGCCUCUUCUAUUUUAGUAAAUUUUUAUAAAUCUUGUUUUAAUAAAGAAAAUUAUUUAAAUCACUUUUUAGCCGAGAAAGCACUCUUUACACCAAAAAAUUUAUCUAAGAUAUUAGAUAGAGUAGGACUUAAUAUUUGUUCUAUUUUUGAAAAACUGCAUGAUCUUUGUUUUGAUAAAGAAGGAAACAAAACAAAUUAUUUAGAUAAUCUUAUCAAAAGUAACCCGACGAAUAAAAUACUUAAUAUAUUACAUAAAGAAGUUAAAAAAGCUCCUUCUACCUUUUUAGAUGGUAUAUCACUGCAACAACAGAAUAUUAGCGGGACAGAGAAAACGAAAAUAAGAAAACAUAGAUGAUCUUACACAGUAGACCAACACAUUCCAAAACAAAAAGCUCUCGCGGCCCUUGGUUUUGGGCGCUAGAGAUGGUUGUAUUAUUUAAGUUUUUAGAGAUAUAUAAUACUAAAUUAAUAGAGAUUGAUUUAAGAAUAGCAAAGAGUAAUCGAGAUUUCCGUCUACUAUCAUCCGUUUUGGUUGGCUUUAAUUAAGUUCUCUUUAGAACACCACUAUCAACUAUAUCGCUGACAUCUAUGGAUGAUUAAAUUUUUAUUAAAGAAAUAUGUUGAAUUGUAAUACUAUUUUAGUAAUAAUAUGAUAAAAGUUAUAUUAUUUAAAUAGUUAUUAAUGGCUAAAAUUCAUGCAAGGUCAACAAGAUCAAAAUAUGGCGUAAUAGGAGCUCCUAGACAACUUACUAGGAAUCCUAUUUCAAUUUUUAAACCCAUAAAAGAAGGAAAUAGCAGAAAGAAAGAAGAACAUGAAAAACUGUUAAAGAAAUUAAGAGAAGAAUUACCUAACGGCUUUAAAAAAGGAGUUGUUGUAGGUGAAGAGGAUUGUUUUUUUGAUUCUGUUGCACAAGGGUUAAAUGAAUUAAAAAGUAAUGGUCCGAUUACAAGCAAUAUAAUUUUUAAUGUGAAAUCAUUGAGAGAAGAUUGUGCAAGUGAUGCUCACAAAUACAAAAAUAAAAUUAUGGAGGAUGUAAAAUUAGGGGGCUAUUUUGUCCCACAGGAGAAUAUUGCUUUUCUUAAUCUUGGUCAUAUUAAAGAUGGAAAAGGUAAUAAGGUUCCAGACAAGGAAAAGACUUUUGAUAAAUACCUGGCAGAUAUUAAGAAUAUGGCUGGAGAGAAUGGCCCUAUUACUAUAUGGGGGCAUCCUGAAAUCGAAGGCAAGAUUAUUACCAGUAAGUAUGGUAUAGAGCUUUAUUUUUAUUCAAUCAAUGAGGAAAAGAUUACAGUAAUUAAAAUUACAGCGGGUAAUGAUGAUCCAGAAGUUUUUAUAGAAGGAGUAGCUCUUAUUCAGUUACAGAUUAAAUGGUAGUCGAAAAGUUGUAGUAAUAGUGAAUUAUAGGAAUCAUUUUGUGCCACUUCUUAAUAACCUAGAAAAAGACAUUAAAGAAGCUAUAGAAGUUUCUAGGGAAAAGGUUUGUGAUAGAGUAGAUGAUAAUAGUCAUUCUUUGACUGAAAAUAUAGAAAAUUAUGCUCUUGGGGAAGGGAUAGGACAGAAGUCACAGGUACAGACUCAAUCUAAUCACAAUUCUUUGCAAGGCAAAAGUCAUCUCACUGCAACUGAUGUUUACAAUAAAUUAGAGCAAGUGAAAUUCAAUAGUGAUUAUUCAGGUGAUAAUGUUCAAGACACACUCAAACAUAUUUAUAAAAGAAAAAUUACGGAUGGUUCUAUAAUAAAUGAUCAUUAUAAUAAUGAAUUAGAUAAGCCUUUUAUUUUUAUAAUUAACGUUCAAACAGUUCUUACUAAUGAUUCUACUGGUACUGAUAAGAAAGAUGGAGGUUUUCACUGGAUUAGCUGGGUACUACUACCUAAAAAAUAUAGGACCUUAUCAGGCAAAGAAGUAAAUAAUGGUAAAUAUCAAGUUCUCCUUUUUGAUUCGUUAAUCAUAUCUUAAAGUGGUAAUAUUUUGAUAAAACAAUGAUGAUAAUAAUAAUAAUAAUGUUUACAUCUAAAAUGUACAAUAAACGUUGGAUAAAUAUCAUUUGACAGAUACAAAAUGUAGGGUGUCCCAGAACGCUUGUUACUGCUGUCACUGCUUACACUUUGGCAUCCUUUGAAGGAACAACGGUAUCCAUCUCUUUCACACAUAUUUUAUAUCUGUGUAUAAAAUUUACUGAAUUUUAUCACAACAGGAAUGUUUUAGAAGUAACAGAGGUUAAAAUGCAAAAAACUAUUAUCAUAUAUAUUCACAGCCGCCAUAUUGUUGGUUGUGCGAUUCGAUCACGCGCGAGCAACAAUUAUUGGUACUGUUGCGUGUCCGUCGCGGAAAA